rnacentral:rRNA from 1 species
GAAUUCACCGACUGCUCGUCGUAAUGUCAUCUAAACAUGNUUACGUUGAUCUAUGGAUCUCAGCACUGNACGCUCGGUNUNUGUACAGCCUAACACAUGCAAGUCGAACGGCAGCACAGGAGAGCUUGCUCUCUGGGUGGCGAGUGGCGGACGGGUGAGGAAUACAUCGGAAUCUACUCUGUCGUGGGGGAUAACGUAGGGAAACUUACGCUAAUACCGCAUACGACCUACGGGUGAAAGCAGGGGAUCUUCGGACCUUGCGCGAUUGAAUGAGCCGAUGUCGGAUUAGCUAGUUGGCGGGGUAAAGGCCCACCAAGGCGACGAUCCGUAGCUGGUCUGAGAGGAUGAUCAGCCACACUGGAACUGAGACACGGUCCAGACUCCUACGGGAGGCAGCAGUGGGGAAUAUUGGACAAUGGGCGCAAGCCUGAUCCAGCCAUACCGCGUGGGUGAAGAAGGCCUUCGGGUUGUAAAGCCCUUUUGUUGGGAAAGAAAUCCAGCUGGCUAAUACCUGGUUGGGAUGACGGUACCCAAAGAAUAAGC